AACUAUGGUCGCAUAGUGUGUAUGUUCUGUGUGCCAGCAACAGACACCCAAGGAAAUUUAUUGUUAAUUUUACAACUUGAUUUUGGGAUUUCCAAGUUUUCAAUUUUCGUCCUCCUAUUGCUGUUAUCGCACGUAGGAAGGUCUUUAAUCAAAUUUUACUCAACCUAGUAUAAUCUGAAUAGUACAUUCAGAGUAAUCCUUUUGAUUAUGUCCUGCGAAGUGCCAUAUUAAAGAAUGUUGAGGUUUAUGUACCGCCAUAAAACAAUUAAGUUCAAAAUAGAGAAAGUGAAUGAGGUAGUCAGAAUGAAUGUAUUUUGUCAUAGGUGGCUUGGUAAAUUCAAACGUUCAUUACCUCACAUGUUCAUUCAAUGGAGGGAAAUCAAACUUUGAUCUCUUCUUUCUGUGUUGUAUUUGCCCCUAAUUAUGGAAUGCCGUUUCACAUGAAGGAUCUAAAAGCUGGAAAGUAAACCUAGGACUUAGAAACACUCAAAGGUGAACACAGAUGAGUAGACUGAAUCCAAGUUUGUUUUGCAAACCCAUUGUGAUUUUCAAAAGGAUUUUCUGAUAUUUUUUACUUAUCAACAUGUAGCCAUUCCGUAGUUAUUCAUGUGCCUCCUACCACCAGUUCAGCACAGACUGGACCUUAUCCCAAAGGAAGGUGGAAUCCUGGACAUAGGGUAACUCAAUGGUUUUGCACUGAAAGACAAGCCAAAAACCUUUAUAAAAUCAUCUAAAAAUAGAAGCAGAAAUAUGCCGCUCGUUUAACAAUAACGUAUAAAGGAUUAGUAUUUUAUUGAGGUGAAGUUGGAAAGAACAUUAGCAAAGAUUUUCCAAAGCCAAGCAUUUUCCAGUUGAAAGUCAUGGAAUUACAGGAUUCAUAUAAAUAUAUAGAACAAUGUUAAAAAAAAAAGAUUCGGUGCAAAUUAGGAGUUAGCAGAAGCGACGAGGGAUAGAUUAACAAAGAUAAACUGACUGGCCUUUCCGAAGACUGAAAAUAACCGAUGUUACGCUCAUUCGUAAGCGAGAACUAGCUUCCAGGUAAUACCAGAACAUUCAACUAAAAUUGAAACUAAAAAAAUGGCAACGAAGAUUGUUGGCCAGUGUAAAAGUUACGUGAAAGGAGAAAUGCAAGUAAAAGGUCGUUAAGGAAAGCACAGCGGGAAUCGAGGAGGAUUGUUAGGAUUUUUCGCGACGAAUAUUAUGAAUGAAGCAUAAAGGGACAAAAAUAAUGAAAAAACACAGUGUUCCAGGUAGGAGCUUCGGGUCGAAGGCACGUAAUAAGUUUGCUGCACUUUGUGAAGAGUGCCAAUGUACCACAGAGAAUUGACAAAUCAAUUUACAUCUCGAUAAAUCCGGCUUAACAUGGGGGAUCUUACAAUGGAAGCACUCUAAGCAACAAUCUACGUACCUCACUAACGAAGCAUCGUGGUAUGGCCUUGUGGCAACAGUACGUUUUCAAAGGAAGGUUCGUGCAGGACUGUAACCUGUAGUUUUGCAUAACACCAUAUAUACAUACUGCCACGUUUUUAACUUGGAUUUCUAGAAAUUAAUUUAUGAUAGAUAAAACAUGAAUUUGGAGGUUAAUAACUGUUGAACGGUUAACUUUUUAUUUUGAAAUGGAGGGAAAUGCCCAUGUGUUAGAAGGGCCCCAACAACCGAAGAAGACUGGGAGGCCACGAAAAACGGUGCUGGAGUCACUAAGAUCCUUGUUGUGGAUCAAAAGUAUCCAGCAUGGCGUAAACAACCGAGGCGGUCCAAUGGUGCAUGGGCAUCGAUGACGGCAGCUGGAGCACCAGGAUGAUAGCCACGGAUUCAGAGGUAUUAGUUUGAAGUAUCUUAACGUUUUUUUUUCUUGUAUAUGUAUUAAAGGUAGAUCCGACAAGCGAAGAAGCGGAUAUAUAAGAUCAAUCACAGCCGCAUCCACUAGGAUCAUCGCCGCUAUCGUUUUACUUUAAGUUUUCAGUUCUUCUGUUUCCGACGUAGCGCGUCAACCACCAUUUUAUAAGACGGCGACUGGUCUUCCUGAGGAAAGCUGAUCCCCGGAUCGCAUCCGUCCAUGGCGAAUAAAUCGCCAUGUUCGGUCCUUAUCAUCCACAUAUCGGGUCAAUCCUGGUCGAGCUCAGUAUAGGUACACUGUUUUACCGCUAGAUGGUCUGAGAGUAAAAAUACUAAACCUAAAACUGUCUGUGUGAGGACGAUCCAAGCUUUCUUUGCUUUUUUAUUUGUCAUUUAGUCUGGUUUCUAGCAUCGAGAUUCCUCGUUCGGUCUUUUCGGUACUUUAUAAAGAGAAGCAUGCAUUUUAGAUGAAAAUUUUUCUUCAAAUAAAGGCUUUCAUUUAAGCACUGCCAGAGGAAAAUAUAUUGUCAAAGAUCAUAGCCAUACCAAUAUUAGGCUACACGGGUUUUAAUUUUUUUCCACGUAUCAAACAGUAAACUCUUGCUACAGGAAAAAGCCAGCAAAUAACAAAUGUAUCAUUCAGUUUCAAAAUUUCAUUAUUUUCACUUUACAGUGCCAUCUUAUCUACUAAAUUGUAAAUUCAAAAUUUGGGUAACAGCUGUGACCAUAUUAAGGCUGAAGUGGUUAAAAAUUCUUAAAGACAGUUUUGAAAACUUUUCUUGCAGGAUAUUUUCAGUGAGACCUCAGAAAAAACAUGGUUUUGUCAGUUGUGUGUGAACACAUCUCUGACUGCAUUUCAUCCAAUUGUUGUACUUAUCAUGGUUGCUUUUCCCAAGCAGCAGGCAAUUGAUACUUCUUUUCAUUUCUAUUUUACUCAUCAUGCUUCAGCCACCAGCAUUGUUUCAUCAGUAUUCAUAUAUGUGUUUUAGGUGAUUUUAAUCGCUAUAAAACAACGGAUUAACAAGAAAAAACCGGUGGAGAUGUCAUCACCAUCGCCGGUGCAUAUUUGUUUCUAGGUUGUUGUUGUUCAAUUGUUAUCCUUGGAUCAUUGAAGAAGGUCAUGCUUUCCACUGAAUCAGAUCUUUUUUAUCCCGUUAAUUAAUAAGCCAGGAAAAGCAACAGUUGUUUUGGUCUUUUCCCUGGUAUGCUGUCCAUCUUUAAUCUCUUGUAGUUGCAAAAAUGGGAUAGAGUUAUGUCAGAGUGGAUUUAUGCCUAAAAGAGGUUGUCUUUGCUACCAAGAUACUCGGUCGUUUCAAGAAAUGUUCUCACUGAAACCUAAUAGGUUUCACAGUGCUACCAAGAGCAUGAUCCAGCAUACAACAACAAGAACCUCGUGUUUAACACACCGGUCGUCUGCUUUUGCAUAUUCAGUGCCUACUCCACACAGCCAGUUACGAUAGUUUUCUCUUAACUAUGUACAACAUUUCUUUCACGGGUUUGCCGUGUUCCUGUUCACUGUUUUGUACCAGAAUUUCACAAAACAGCAGCUUUUAAGCAAUUUUCACUUGUAUAGUUCAACAACAGGUUACGCCCGUAUGAGCUGGACUCAAUUUCUUAAAUGGAACAUUCUUGCUCUCUGGCACGCAAUCGUAAUUUCCUUCGGAACGCAUUUGUUGUAUUACUACGAAUGCGAUGUUGUUUAUAAUGGCCAACCACUGGAUUUCGUUACAUUUGGCACUAUUAUGUGUCAAGUUGUCGCCUGGGUCACGAAUUUAAAGCUCCUGGUGGAGUCACGCCACUGGACUGAUUUAUUCACAGCAUCCGUAGCCGUGUCUAUUUAUCUAGGCUUUUCAGCCAUUGUACUCCUCUAUUGCGCUUAUGACUAGUAUGGAACCAUUAAUUAAUAAUUUACACUAACAGGAUAAAGGUAAAAACGCGUUGUCGUAAGAAUGUUUAUGACAUACUUUUUCAUUAUUGUGCGUUAGUAGUUUAUUUGAUAGUUUCUGUUUUCGUGUAAUUCCAAGAACGCUGCACGUGACUUCGAAAACGUACAUAUAAAACCUUGUGUGAGUAAAUUACCCAGCAGGUCUGCCACGCCUAGCCAACUAAACGUUAAUUCUUGCCCUAGAAACGCUAACAUAGGUAAAAAUUUUUUCUCAAAAACUGACACUCAUCGGAAUUUGUUGAAUA